rnacentral:rRNA from 1 species
AACGAACGCUGGCGGCGCGCUUAACACAUGCAAGUCGAACGCACUUCCUUCGGGGGGUGAGUGGCGCACGGGUGAGUAACGCGUGGGAACCUACCUUGGGGUUCGGGACAACGGCGGGAAACUGCCGCUAAGACCGGAUACGGCCCUGGCCGGGGACGGCUGGGGCGAAAGACUUGUCGCCCGAAGAUGGGCCCGCGUCCGAUUAGCUGGUUGGUGGGGUAACGGCCCACCAAGGCUGUGAUCGGUAGCCGGUCUGAGAGGAUGAUCGGCCACACUGGGACUGAGACACGGCCCAGACUCCUACGGGAGGCAGCAGUGGGGAAUCUUGGACAAUGGGGGCAACCCUGAUCCAGCGACGCCGCGUGGGUGAUGAAGGCCUUCGGGUUGUAAAGCCCUUUUCCCGGGGACGAUGAUGACGGUACCCGGGGAAUAAGCACCGGCUAACUCCGUGCCAGCCGCCGCAGUAAAAC